ensembl:miRNA gga-mir-12282 gga-mir-12282
UGCCGGGGCGCUGGGGAGGGGCAGCUCCCCUUUGCUGCCCUGCUUCUCCUCCCUUCGCACGGCGCA